CGUGUGAUGACAUACAGAGUGUGCGGACACGCCUAUCGCGUAGCUGCCGGCUGUGCGCGCCCGACCAACUACUGUAUUUCAUGGGUGAACAAUCUCUGAUG
rnacentral:snoRNA from 25 species